AGUACCUGGAAAGAGAACCCAACAAGAUUAAAAUAAAAGAGACUCAAAAAGAGUUUUCCGUCAACUGAAUCUCCAUCGUCUUUCCCCUUCCCUUCCCUUUCUCGCGUUUUCCUUCUCCGCUUCUUCUUCGAUUCACGAUCCCCUUUCUCUCUCUCUCUCUCUCUCUCUCGGUUAUUCUUCUUCUUCUUCUUCUUCUUAUUCUUGUUCUUGUUGUUGAGUGUUUGUGUGUGGUGUUGAUCGCGUGUGUUCAUGGUGAUCGAGCAUGACAUUGAGAGCUGCGGGAGCAGAGCGGUGCAGUUGUCGCAUGCUAACCACCCUCGACACCACCGCCAGAAACUGGAGGUGUACAAUGAGGUGUUGCGGCGGAUUCAGGAUUCCGAUUGCGAGGAGGCGCACGUUCCCGGCUUCGAUGAUCAGCUAUGGCUACACUUCAAUCGACUUCCUGCUAGGUACGCGUUGGAUGUAAAUGUUGAGAGGGCAGAAGAUGUUUUGGCUCAUAAAAGAUUGCUCAAGUUGGCGGAGGAUCCCGCAUCUCGACCUGCAUUUCAAGUUCGGUUAGUACAGGUAUAUCCUUUUGGUGGUGCAAAUUAUACUGAUUCCACACAUUCAGAUCCUUCUGAAAUAGAGGAUGCACAGAGUUCUCUUAACUAUUCUUUAAAGCAGGGAAUUCAUCCACCACCCACAUUUGGUUCAUCCUCUAAUCUUGAAGCUCUUGCUCUUCAAACAACCAAAAAUAACAUUGAAGAUGGGGGAAGUGCUAUGAGUGUAACACCAUAUUUUCACAGGCCCAUGCACGAGAUUACCUUUUCAACAGUUGACAAGCCUAAACUCCUUAGUCAGUUAACAUCAAUACUUGGUGAGAUGGGACUGAAUAUUCAAGAAGCUCAUGCAUUCUCCACUACUGAUGGAUUUUCUCUGGAUGUCUUUGUUGUUGAGGGAUGGCCCAAUGAGGAAACUGAGGAGCUGAAAGGUGUGUUAGAAAAGGAAAUUUACAAGGUUAAGGAGCAGAAUAUGUCAAAUCAGGGCAUACAUUGUGCUGCCAAUGAUCAUUACCAGCCAAGGAUAGAGCAAUCCCCUCACUGCAUUCAAAUACCAACGGAUGGAGCUGAUGUCUGGGAACUUGAUACCAACCAGCUGAAAUAUGAAAACAAAGUUGGCUCUGGGUCAUUUGGUGACUUGUACAGAGGUACAUAUUGCAGUCAAGAUGUUGCUAUCAAAGUUCUCAAGCCUGAGCGCAUAAGUACAGAUAUGCUGAAGGAGUUUGCACAAGAAGUUUAUAUCAUGAGGAAGAUUCGACACAAGAAUGUUGUUCAGUUCAUCGGCGCAUGUACCAGGCCCCCGAAUCUUUGUAUUGUUACGGAGUUUAUGUCUAGGGGAAGCUUAUAUGACUUUCUGCACAAACAAAGAGGUGUAUUUAAGCUUCCAUCUUUGCUAAAAGUAGCAAUUGAUGUUUCCAAGGGAAUGAACUAUUUGCACCAAAAUAAUAUAAUUCACAGGGACCUCAAGACUGCCAAUCUUCUGAUGGAUGAAAAUGAAGUGGUAAAGGUUGCUGAUUUUGGGGUUGCUAGAGUGCAAACUCAGUCUGGUGUGAUGACAGCUGAAACUGGAACAUACCGUUGGAUGGCUCCUGAGGUCAUUGAACACAAACCAUAUGACCAGAAGGCAGAUGUUUUCAGUUUUGGAAUAGCUCUCUGGGAGCUUUUAACUGGAGAAGUGAGUACUUUCAUGCCAGACACUACCCUACUCUUGCUUGACCCCAUUACAAGCAGCAGUCGGCGUUGUGCAGAAGGGCCUAAGGCCUACAAUUCCAAAAACAACACACCCAAGACUUUCUGAACUGCUACAGCGCUGCUGGCAACAAGAUCCGACUCUCAGACCAGAUUUCUCUGAAAUAAUAGAAAUUCUUCAGCACAUAGCAAAAGAGGUCAAUGAUCACAAGGAUAAAUCAUCAUCCCAUGGCUUUCUCUCAGCUCUUAGACGGGUCCAUCACUGAUAUUACACGACAGUAUAGCCUUUUUGUCCUGUAUAGUAGCCAGACUCUGACCAAAUAUCUAUUCAGUUGGUUGUUUCUACUCUUGAAAGAUUCGGUGGUAUUGUGCUUGCCUUAAAUUUCUUUUAGAAUCUUCGUCUUUCUCCAAUUUAUCUAUUCAACUUGUUCACCUAGGAUGGAUACAAGAUUAGUGAAGGUCGAAAAUUCCAUGUAUCAUUUACAAUUAAUUUUUUGCUAAUUGUAUUCUAUGUGUUUUGACUGGGAGUUUUUUCGAUGCACUCCCUUGUAUCCAAACCCUUGAAGUUGACUCAGAGGCGUUACGUGUUGAUACUUGAGAUGUACCAACUUUAACUGUAAUAAAAUCGGCAUAUGUAAUGCAAUUUUAUUCAAAGGCA